AGUAUGCUGGGAGCUUUGCAGCACAUUCUGCUUGGUGUGCUCUCUGCUCUUUGAAUUUCGGAAUUCUCCUGAGAACAAAAGGCUGGUUGAUCUACUCUUGAAGCUUGACAGAUGAUAUUCCAAUUUAUCUUUUGAAAAUGAGAAAACAAAAGGUAGUCACCAUUCUUUCUGAGCAUCUGGAAAAAUGUAGAUAGCAGAUUUGACCAAUUUUAAUUCUCUUCCUCUGUUAAUCACCCUAGGUAGGAAUAUGUACAGAUUUUAUGAUCUGAUUGCCACCUUCCUGCAGUGUAAUUCACCACCACAGCUGUGGAUAAAUACUGCAGGAAAGAUACCAUGAAAGGAGAAGGCACAGAGACAAUCAGUAGGUCUCCCGACAUGGCAAGAAAUUGGAGUCAAGUGUCCCAAACUAGAGGCAGUGCUCUAUUACUUCAAUCGUAGGUGUUGUAAUAUGAAAUUCUGCUCAACUUCCAAGCAAGCAAAUCUCCAUCCUGCAAAGUGCAGAGAAGAGCCUGAAGUGCUAGGACACCCCACUGACUG
rnacentral:lncRNA from 1 species